rnacentral:rRNA from 1 species
AGCUCCAAUAGUGUAUAUUAAAGUUGUUGUGUUUAAAAAGCUCGUAGUCGAAUUUAAAGAGUUAUACCACUAAUUUUAGUAAGGAUGGUGUAAAUAAGGAGAACAAUUAUUUGAUUGUUUAUUUACUUUGAAAAAAAUAGAGUGUUCAAAGCAAAAUGUAAGUUAAUAUAUAAUGAAGCAUAGUAUAAUAGUGAGGAGAAGCAAUUUUUGAGAACAGUAUUAAAAAAAGAAAUUGGGGUAAUUUAGACAAAAUUGGGAGAGGUGAAAAUUCAUGAUCAAUUUUGGAUAAUCUAAAGCGAAGGCAUUUUACUCAUUUUCUCUUAUU